GACGAACGCUGGCGGCGUGCUUAACACAUGCAAGUCGUGCGGUAAGGCCCUUCUGGGGGUACAUGAGCGGCGAACGGGCGGGUAACACGCGAGCAACUUGCCUUCCAUUUAGGGUGAAAUGCCGGAAACAGUGGCUAACUCCUGCCAUGACUUCGCUACUCCUGCGGGGUGGUGGUAAGACUGUGGGUGGUGGGGGAUGGGCUCGCGGCCUAUCAGCUUGUUGGUGGGGUGUUGGCCUACCAAGGCUUCGACGGGUAGCCGGCCUGAGAGGGUGACCGGCCACACUGGGACUGAGAUACGGCCCAGACUCCUACGGGAGGCAGCAGUGGGGAAUAUUGGACAAUGGGCGGAAGCCUGAUGCAGCAACGCCGCGUGCGGGAUGACGGCCUUCGGGUUGUAAACCUCUUUCGCCUGUGACGAAGCGAGAGUGACGGUAACGGGUAAAGAAGCACCGGCCAACUACGUG
rnacentral:rRNA from 1 species